rnacentral:rRNA from 1 species
GUCCACACCGUAAACGAUGAUUACUAGGUGUUGGAGGAUUGACCCCUUCAGUGCCGCAGUUAACACAAUAAGUAAUCCACCUGGGGAGUACGACCGCAAGGUUGAAACUCAAAGGAAUUGACGGGGGCCCGCACAAGCAGUGGAGUAUGUGGUUUAAUCGACGCAACGCGAAGAACCUUACCAAGUCUUGACAUCCCUUGACAGACAUAGAAAUAUGUUUCUCUUCGGAGCAAGGAGACAGGUGGUGCAUGGUUGUCGU